UGGGCACGUUCUUGUCUGCCAGUUCGGGGUGCUUGGGCAUGUGGACAUCCUUCUUGGCCACCAUCACUCCCUCCUUAAAAAGGAGUUCAUAAAUGGCAAUACGGUUCUUCUUGGGCAUCAACAUCUGCAGGAAGGAAAAGCACUUUCGAGCAACGUCUGAAUUCCAGU